rnacentral:rRNA from 1 species
AGUCGAGCGGUAGAGAGGAGCUUGCUUCUCUUGAGAGCGGCGGACGGGUGAGUAAUGCCUAGGAAUCUGCCUGGUAGUGGGGGAUAACGUUCGGAAACGGACGCUAAUACCGCAUACGUCCUACGGGAGAAAGCAGGGGACCUUCGGGCCUUGCGCUAUCAGAUGAGCCUAGGUCGGAUUAGCUAGUUGGUGAGGUAAUGGCUCACCAAGGCGACGAUCCGUAACUGGUCUGAGAGGAUGAUCAGUCACACUGGAACUGAGACACGGUCCAGACUCCUACGGGAGGCAGCAGUGGGGAAUAUUGGACAAUGGGCGAAAGCCUGAUCCAGCCAUGCCGCGUGUGUGAAGAAGGUCUUCGGAUUGU